rnacentral:tRNA from 1 species
UCCCUAGUGACUCAGUUGGUAAAGAAUCUGCCUGCAAUGCAGGAGACCCAGGUUCAAUCCCUGGGUCAGGAA